ensembl:miRNA
UUUGGUAUUUAAAAGGUGGAUAUUCCUUCUAUGGUUACGUGCUUCCUGGAUAAUCAUAGAGGAACAUCCACUUUUUCAGUAUCAAA